CCUACGGGAGGCAGCAGUGAGGAAUAUUGCACAAUGGGAGGAAACUCUGAUGCAGCAACGCCGCGUGGAGGAUGACGCAUUUCGGUGUGUAAACUCCUUUUAUUAGGGAAGAUAAUGACGGUACCUAAUGAAUAAGCACCGGCUAACUCCGUGCCAGCAGCCGCGGUAAU
rnacentral:rRNA from 1 species